rnacentral:tRNA from 1 species
GGGUCGUUAGCUCAGUUGGUAGAGCACCGGGCUUUUAACUCGUUGGUCCUGGGUUCGAGUCCCAGACGGCCCACCA